rnacentral:lncRNA from 1 species
AUUGUCUAAAAAUUAUUUAAAUCUAUAUUUUCCAAACCAAAAGUUUGCAAGCUGAACACUACUGAGCGUUUUCCCCUAUCAAGUAGGACCGCUACUUUGUGUUGACUAACUUCAAGAACAAAAUAUUCAGCACAUAUCCAUUUCCACGGGAAUCACUACCACAGAGCUUGCUCUUUAACUGAAAAAAAACUCCAAUUACUAUGUCUUGAUUUAUCCCAUAAAAAAAAACUCAGAAUAUUUGAAUAAUCAUUUAAAGCAACAAACAGAUUGAAAUGGGAGAAUGCAGUCCUUAAGAACCAUAUAUUUGAACCAUAGAAAUGCAGACACAACCCACUCCACAAAGCAGUAAGGCUUAAAGUCAAUUCCAACAUCCAUGAAAUUAAAUAGUCCAAAAUCUAUGAAGUUAAAUAAUAAAUAACAUGCUUAAGCAUUCACUGUUGCCAAACUCCAAAAUGCAAUUAAAUUUCAACAAAGAAUUCACGAAAAAUCAAUCCAAAAACACUUAACAAAGUCACGUAAUACACACGGAUCAAAAUUCACUAACAAACAAAUACGCAAAAGACGACUAAGAAAACUUGCGCUAAAAGAAAAAUUGGAAUGAACCUUUAUUAGACUCAGCAAUAAGCUUCUUCGACAUAGCAAGUGUGUAGCUCCAUCAUCAUCAAAAUACAAGGAAAAAUAGCGACUACACCCGGAUGAAAAUUUGAACGAGUCCCGCGGCAGGAGAACCCGAACGGUACCCUCGACAAUGAGAAUCGCAACUGAUAUAUCCCUCUAACGUCCCAAAAACCUCGACCUUUGGAGGUGAUUCAAAGUUGCUCUCAUGGCUGAUUUUCAGCUGAAGUCUGAUGAAGGAAAAGCUACUGGUUUAAGGAGAUUUCGUGGCUGAUUUUCGCUAUAUUAUAGCUGGAAAACAAAGCUGAUUUUGAAUGAUUUUUGGAGGCUGGUUCAAGGACUGUUUGAAGCUAUUUUGCAGCUUUGUUUUGGUGGUGUUUAAUACAAGUUUCAACCUAGGGGUGACCAGUACCGUAACCUUUAACUUAUGGCCACACUUUUUACAUGUUGCUAUAGAAUCCACGCUUCAAAAGUGUGUCUGAUGUACUAAAAAAGCUACACUUUAUAUUUCGUAUAUAGCUACACUUUUAUGACAUAGAACUACAAUUUUGAAGUGUGGUCUUUGUUGAUUUAUAGACCACACUUUUAGAGCGUGGCUUCUAAAGAAACU